AUUGAACGCUGGCGGCAGGCCUAACACAUGCAAGUCGAACGAGUGGCGGACGGGUGAGUAAUGUCUGGGAAACUGCCCGAUGGAGGGGGAUAACUACUGGAAACAGUAGCUAAUACCGCAUACCAUCGGAUGUGCCCACAUGGGAUGAGCUAGUAGGUGGGGUAACGGCUCACCUCGGCCACGAUCCCUAGCUGGUCGGAGAGGCUGACCAGCCGGCAUGGACCUGCGACACGGUCAAGACGCCUACGGGAGGCAGCAGUGGGGAAUAUUGAACAAUGGGCGCAAGCCUGAUGCAGCCAAGCCGCGUGUAUGAAGAAGGGCGUCGGGUUGUAAAGUACUUUCAGCGAGGAGGCGUUACUCGCAGAAGAAGCACCGGCUAACUCCGUGCCAGCAGCCGCGGUAAUUC
rnacentral:rRNA from 1 species